CCUACGGGAGGCAGCAGUAGGGAAUCUUAGACAAUGGGGGCAACCCUGAUCUAGCCAUGCCGCGUGUGUGAUGAAGGCCCUAGGGUCGUAAAGCACUUUCGCCAGAGAUGAUAAUGACAGUAUCUGGUAAAGAAACCCCGGCUAACUCCGUGCCAGCAGCCGCGGUAAUACGGAGGGGGUUAGCGUUGUUCGGAAUUACUGGGCGUAAAGCGCACGUAGGCGGAUUAGUAAGUUAGAGGUGAAAUCCCAGGGCUCAACCCUGGAACUGCCUUUAAUACUGCUAGUCUUGAGUUCGAGAGAGGUAAGUGGAAUUCCGAGUGUAGAGGUGAAAUUCGUAGAUAUUCGGAGGAACACCAGUGGCGAAGGCGGCUCACUGGCUCGAUACUGACGCUGAGGUGCGAAAGUGUGGGGAGCAAACAGGAUUAGAUACCCUGGUAGUCCACACCGUAAACGAUGAAUGCCAGUCGUCGGCAAGUAUACUUGUCGGUGACACACCUAACGGAUUAAGCAUUCCGCCUGGGGAGUACGGUCGCAAGAUUAAAACUCAAAGGAAUUGACGG
rnacentral:rRNA from 1 species